rnacentral:rRNA from 1 species
CUCAGAGACGCCAUUGUGAAAGUCAAGAAGAGUUCUCUUCUCUGUUUUACAAACUGUUAUAUGGUUUACCAUGUAAUGUUAAAAUCCUUGGAAUUGAAUCAUUCAGAGAUAAGGAUUAAAGUUUGGUAGAGUAAAUCAUUUUUUGAUUUAUUUGGCUUUUUCACAAUGGUUCAUAAAAAUCUGAGGGAAAAAUAUCCAUCUUAUCCGUUCGUACUCAUCACCGCAGCAGGUCUCCAAGGUUAGAAGCCUCUAGUUGACAGAAUAACGUUGGUAAGGGAAGUCGGCAAACUGAAUUUGUAACCUAGGGAUAAAAAUUGGCUCUUAAAAGGCUGGGUAUCAGGGUCACAUGUUGGAAUCUCUUGGGAAACUUAUUUACGAUAAUCUAACUUUGGUGGGAUUAUUGUGGAUGGGUGGAAUAAGGGUGGAUGGUGUGUGAUAAAUCGUGGAUUUAUUUCUUGUAUACAAUUAACAGCUAAUUAGAACUGUUACUGAGAA